GAUGAACGCUGGCGGCGUGCCUAAUACAUGCAAGUCGAGCGAACAGACGAGGAGCUUGCUCCUUCGACGUUAGCGGCGGACGGGUGAGUAACACGUAGGUAACCUACCUAUAAGACUGGGAUAACUUCGGGAAACCGGAGCUAAUACCGGAUAAUAUUUCGAACCGCAUGGUUCGAUAGUGAAAGAUGGCUUUGCUAUCACUUAUAGAUGGACCUGCGCCGUAUUAGCUAGUUGGUAAGGUAACGGCUUACCAAGGCAACGAUACGUAGCCGACCUGAGAGGGUGUUCGGCCACACUGGAACUGAGACACGGUCCAGACUCCUACGGGAGGCAGCAGUAGGGAAUCUUCCGCAAUGGGCGAAAGCCUGACGGAGCAACGCCGCGUGAGUGAUGAAGGUCUUCGGAUCGUAAAACUCUGUUAUUAGGGAAGAACAAACGUGUAAGUAACUGUGCACGUCUUGACGGUACCUAAUCAGAAAGCCACGGCUAACUACGUG
rnacentral:rRNA from 1 species